rnacentral:rRNA from 1 species
UGAACGCUGGCGGCAGGCCUCACACAUGCACGUCGAGCGGAUGAAGGGAGCUUGCUCCUGGAUUCAGCGGCGGACGGGUGAGUAAUGCCUAGGAAUCUGCCUGGUAGUGGGGGAUAACGUCCGGAAACGGGCGCUAAUACCGCAUACGUCCUGAGGGAGAAAGUGGGGGAUCUCCGGACCUCACGCUAUCAGAUGAGCCUAGGUCGGAUUAGCUAGUUGGUGGGGUAAAGGCCUACCAAGGCGAGGCUCCGUAACUGGUAUGAGAGGGUGAUCAGUCACACUGGGACUGAAACACGGUCCAGACUCCUACGGUGAGCAGCAGUGGGGAAUAUUGGACGAUGGGCGAAAGCCUGAUCCAGCCGUGCCGCGUGUGUGAAGAAGGUCUUCGGAUUGUAAAGCUCUUUAAGUUGGGAGGAAGGGCAGUAAGUUAAUGCCUUGCUGUUUUGACGUUACCAUCAGAAUAAGCACCGGCUAACUUCGUG